CUGCUGCCUCCCGUAGGAGUUUGGCCGUGUCUCAGUCCAAUGUGGGGGGUUAACCUCUCAGUCCCCCUAUGUAUCGUCGCCUUGGUGAGCCGUUACCUCACCAACCAGCUAAUACAACGCAUGCCCAUCAUCAACCACCGGAGUUUUCAACCCCAUGCGAUGCCGCAUGAGAUAUUAUGGGGUAUUAGUACCAAUUUCUCAGUGUUAUCCCCCUGUUGAUGGUAGGUUGCAUACGCGUUACGCACCCGUGCCG
rnacentral:rRNA from 1 species